UGGCAGACUGGAAAAUCUCUGCAGGCAAAUGUGAUGUCACUGAAGAAAUCACACACUUACCAGUAGAGAUUCUAUAGUCUGUCACCUUCAAGCAU
ensembl:miRNA